rnacentral:miRNA from 1 species
UUUGUAUGUAUGUGUGUGUGUGUGUGUGUGUGUGUGUGUGUGUGUAUAUAUACACACACACACACACACACACACAUUUUCCAAAGAUAGA